UGUCUUAAUCUCUCAAUGCCUCUAAUUAUUUUACAGGUACUAUUAUCUUAUUAUCAUCUAAAGACUGGCAUAUGGGACAGACAUUUUGAAUUGGCAAAUGGCAAUAGUGUUAUAUUUUCGGCACGCCUAUUUGCUUCACAGUGCCUGACUGUGCAUUGAGCAUUUGAAACAACACAUUUAGAUCCGUGGGAAGUCUUUGUUGUAAGCAGUUUGAAAAUUUUCUUUGAUAAAUGACAUGCUGACCUGGUAUUCUUCCAUAGAUAUCACUGUUGUUUUUCAACUUUUGGGAUCUGAUUUUUAAUUUCCUUUUUUUUCCCUUCUUCCUUUAGGAUCCCUGUUAUCUACAACCCCUUUUUGAUCAAUUUAUCCAAUUUUAAGAAUUACAAAAAGUAAAUUGUAUGUUCCCUUGAGUGUGCUAGUAAAUUUACCAAGUAAAAAGGAAAAAAAAAAAAAAAAGA